rnacentral:rRNA from 1 species
UACCAGCUCUCCGAGUUGUAGGGACGAUUAUUGGGCUUAAAGCGUCCGUAGCUGGCUUAGCAAGUCUCCUGUUAAAUUCAGCGACCUAAUCGUUGAGCCGCGGGAGAUACUACUAGGCUAGGAGGCGGGAGAGGUCAACGGUACUUCCGGGGUAGGGGUGAAAUCCUAUAAUCCCGGGAGGACCACCAGUGGCGAAGGCUGUUGACUAGAACGCGCUCGACGGUGAGGGACGAAAGCUGGGGGAGCGAACCGGAUUAGAUACCCGGGUAGUCCCAGCUGUAAACGAUGCGAGCUAGGUGUUGGGGUGGCUACGUGCCACUUCAGUGCCGCAGGGAAGCCAUUAAGCUCGCCGCCUGGGGAGUACGGCCGCAAGGCUGAAACUUAAAGGAAUUGGCGGGGAGCACCACAAGGCGUGAAGCUUGCGGUUC